UACGAAGGUCCCGAGCGUUAUCCGGAUUUAUUGGGUUUAAAGGGUGCGUAGGCGGUCUAUUAAGUCAGUGCUGAAAUACUCCAGCUUAACUGGAGGGGUGGCAUUGAUACUGAUGGACUUGAGUACAGAUGAGGUAGGCGGAAUUGACGGUGUAGCGGUGAAAUGCAUAGAUAUCGUCAAGAACACCGAUAGCGAAGGCAGCUUACUGGGCUGUAACUGACGCUGAUGCACGAAAGUGUGGGGGAUC
rnacentral:rRNA from 1 species